rnacentral:rRNA from 1 species
AAGAGUUUGAUCCUGGCUCAGGAUUAACGCUGGCGGCGCGCCUAAUACAUGCAAGUCGAACGGAAACCUUCGGGUUUUAGUGGCGAACGGGUGAGUAACACGUAAGCAACCUGCCUUUAAGACGUGGAUAACAAUUGGAAACAGUUGCUAAGACAGGAUAGGAAAUUAAGAGGCAUCUUUUAAUUUUUAAAAGACCUUUUUCGAAAGGUAUACUUAAAGAGGGGCUUGCGCCACAUUAGUUAGUUGGUAAGGUAAAGGCUUACCAAGACGAUGAUGUGUAGCUGGACUGAGAGGUCGAACAGCCACAUUGGGACUGAGACACGGCCCAAACUCCUACGGGAGGCAGCAGUAAGGAAUUUUUGGCAAUGGAGGAAACUCUGACCGAGCGACGUCGCGUGAACAAUGAAGUACUUCGGUAUGUAAAGUUCUUUUAUUGAAAAAGAAAAAAUAGUGGAAAAACUAUCUUGACAUUAUUCAAUGAAUAAGCCCCGGCUAAUUAUGUGCCAGCAGCCGCGGUAAUACAUAAGGGGCGAGCGUUAUCCGGAAUUAUUGGGCGUAAAGGGUGCGUAGGCGGUUUGAUAAGUCUAUAGUUUAAAUGCAGUGCUUAACGCUAUAGCGCUAUAGAAACUGUCUGACUAGAGUUAGAUAGAGGCAAGCGGAAUUCCAUGUGUAGCGGUAAAAUGCGUAAAUAUAUGGAGGAACACCAGAGGCGUAGGCGGCUUGCUGGGUCUUAACUGACGCUGAGGCACGAAAGCGUGGGGAGCAAACAGGAUUAGAUACCCUGGUAGUCCACGCCGUAAACGAUGAGUACUAAGUGUCGGGUCGGCUCGGUACUGAAGUUAACACAUUAAGUACUCCGCCUGAGUAGUACGUACGCAAGUAUGAAACUUAAAGGAAUUGACGGGACCCCGCACAAGCGGUGGAUCAUGUUGUUUAAUUCGAAGAUACACGAAAAACCUUACCAGGUCUUGACAUAAUUUUGCGACAUUAUAGAAAUAUAAUGAAGGUUAUCAGAAUUACAGGUGGUGCAUGGUUGUCGUCAGCUCGUGUCGUGAGAUGUUAGGUUAAGUCCUAAAACGAGCGCAACCCUUGUCGUUAGUUGCGACCACGUAAUGGUGAGCACUUUAGCGAGACUGCCAAUGAAAAAUUGGAGGAAGGUGAGGAUUACGUCAAAUCAUCAUGCCCCUUAUGAUCUGGGCUACAAACGUGAUACAAUGGCUGUUACAAAGAGUAGCUACAACGUGAGUUUUUAGCCAAUCUCAAAAAAACAGUCUCAGUUCGGAUUGAAGUCUGCAACUCGACUUCAUGAAGUUGGAAUCGCUAGUAAUCGCGAAUCAGCAUGUCGCGGUGAAUACGUUCUCGGGGUUUGUACACACCGCCCGUCAAACCACGAAAGUUGAUAAUACCCGAAAGCGGUCGCCUAACUUCGUCAGAAGAGGGAGCCGUCUAAGGUAGGAUCGAUGAUUGGGGUUAAGUCGUAACAAGGUAUCCCUACCGGAAGGUGGGGAUGGAUCACCUCCUUUCUAAGGAAACAUAGAAUCAUCAUCUUCAGUUUUGAAAGACUUAGUUAGGUUUUUCUAAUUUGAAAAACUUAGUUAAGUUUUUCUCAUUUCUUUUAUUUUUUGGUAUCCUGGGCCUAUAGCUCAGUUGGUUAGAGCACACGCCUGAUAAGCGUGAGGUCGGUGGUUCAAGUCCAUUUAGGCCCACCAAACGUUUUGCUAAAAAAAACGUGUUAUCAAAAAAAAGUUCUUUGAAAAGUAGAUAAACAAGAAAACAAUAGCCAUUUUUAAAGGAAGUAGGGGCGUACAGUGGAUGCCUUGGCACUAAGAGCCGAUGAAGGACG